GCUGACACCCCCGUCCUCCAAAUGGUUUGAGCUGCACACUGCAGACUCAACCCCCGUGAGUUAGUCUCACCUGGUCUCUCCCAGGAUAAACAUGGCGACCUCUCACUCUGUUUUAUUCGUUUGUUUGGGAAAUAUCUGCAGAUCCCCAAUAGCUGAGGCCGUUUUCAGGAAGAUGGUGAUGGAUGCUGGUGUUGUUGAUAAGUGGAGGAUAGACAGUGCUGCCACCUCCACCCAUGAAAUAGGAAACCCUCCAGAUGACCGUGGUCAAGCCUGCAUGAAGAGGCAUGACGUGCCCAUGAGGCAUGUCGCCAGGCAGGUGACCAGAGAGGACUUCACCAGCUUUGACUACAUGCUCUGCAUGGAUGACAGUAAUCUGAGUGACUUGAAAAGAAAAGCGAAAUCUGUGGGAAACGUACGUGCAAAAAUCGAGCUUCUUGGUUCUUACGACCCUCUGAAGCAGCUGAUCAUCAAAGACCCCUAUUAUGGAUAUGACAAAGACUUUGAAACUGUGUAUCAACAGUGUGUCAGAUGCUGCAAAGCAUUUCUGGAGGCCAACUCCUAACGGACUUUGACCUGAAACCACCCGGGUCCACUGGAUGAACAUCAGUGUGUGUGUGACUUGAGUUUCACACACACACACACACCCAC